AGUCACAUAGCUGCGUGGUACGUGACUGGAGGCAUAUCACUGUCCUCGCCUGGAUCACGCCAAUGUGGCCCCAACCCCACCUCCCUCCCCACCCCAUGAUGUCAGAAAAAACCUGACACAGAAAAUUGGCUGGGGCCAAGAGAAAGUUCACAGACUAUCGUCAGUGGAACAUUGCUGGUGUUGGUACCGGAGCAACCGACACCAAAAAGAAGAAAAUAAAUCAUGGCACUAACCCUGAGACAACCACUUCGGGGGGCUGCCACUCGCCUGAGGAUGUGAGUCUUGGCUGGCCGGUCUCCUGAGGACAAGGGGCACAAGGGGGAGGUCGAGGGUAACUGUUAAGAUUGUGGAAGGAAGAACUGCCGGGUACUGGCUAAGAAUUCUGGGUUUGAGUCCUACUUCUCUCUCCAUCUGCGAGGGACACGGUUUAGG
rnacentral:lncRNA from 1 species